GCGAGCGUAACUCAGUUGGUUAGAGUGCCAGGUUGUGGCUCUGGAAGCCGGGGGUUCAAGUCCCCUUGCCCGCC
rnacentral:tRNA from 1 species